AUGCCACACUUAUUUGUCAAACCAUAUGCUAUGCUUGAUGACAACACUUGUUGGGUGAAUAACCUCUUGAAUGCUUGGUUUUGCUCUUACGCCAACCACAUUUGUUUUUCCAAGUGCUUGUUAUCUUUGCUCCUUUUGAAGGAAUUACAAGAUGGUACGACAUCGGAGAGAGCCCAUUUGGAACUACAAGAUGAUGAAUGCUUGGUGAUCGUCCACUACUACACGGCAACAUCAUCUCUUUCCCAUGGUGAUUUGGAUUUCGAUCCGAGGUCGGAUCUUUCCCAAGGGGGAGGGGAUGAUGUGGAGCAUCCUAUGGACAUCACCAUGUCAAGAGUCCAUUUGGCAAGUGACACGUGCCACAUCUACUUCAUACAUACAAAGGUGAAUCAUCUCCUUUACACGUGUCCACUUGUACCUCUCGAGGAUGGUAUACUACCUGACCCCUCUCUCGUAUGCAUACAUAGGUGUGAGCGGAGCUACACAUUCAUCGAGGAGUCCAAUAAGAAGAGAACAUCUACGCCAUCCAAGAGGGAAGCCUGGAAGCGGAGAAGGAAGCGCCAAGAAGAAGUCAGCAGCUCCCAGGCAAAACCGUGCACACGGGCCCCUCCGACCCCGUGCCCACGGGCCUCCCAGGCUGGCGGUCCUGAAGCCCCUAUGUGCACAGGCGUGUACUGUGCCCACGGGACCCCCGCGUCCACGGGCCCAACGGACCCCGUGCGCACGGGCCCUUGUGUCCGGUCUAUGGAUACCCAGUGCGCACGGGCUCCACUUACCCUGUGCACACGGGGCCCCCUAUGUGUUGCUGCAGGCUUUGCCCAUGAAAUCCCCAUUUCACCCCUGCUUACCCCUUCAUCCCUUGGACCUAUAUAUACUCCUUCAUCUCCUCCAUUUAUACUUAGCUAA
rnacentral:rRNA from 1 species